UACGUAGGGGGCUAGCGUUGUCCGGAAUCAUUGGGCGUAAAGAGCGCGUAGGCGGCCCGGUAAGUCCGCUGUGAAAGUCGGGGGCUCAACCCUCGAAUGCCGGUGGAUACUGUCGGGCUAGAGUGCGGAAGAGGCGAGUGGAAUUCCUGGUGUAGCGGUGAAAUGCGCAGAUAUCAGGAGGAACACCGAUUGCGAAGGCAGCUCGCUGGGACGUUACUGACGCUGAGACGCGAAAGCGUGGGGAGCAAACAGG
rnacentral:rRNA from 1 species